rnacentral:rRNA from 1 species
UUCGCAAUGCCCGAAAGGGUGACGACGCGACGCCGCGUGCGGGAGGAAGGCCUUCGGGUUGUAAACCGCUUUUAGGGGGCAUGAAGGGAGUAGGGUGAACAGCCCUAUGACCUGACGUCAACCUCAGAAAAAGCUCCGGCUAACUUCGUGCCAGCAGCCGCGGUAAGACGAAGGGAGCGAGCGUUAUUCGGUUUCACUGGGCUUAAAGGGCGCGUAGGCGGCCGUGUAUGUCGGUUGUGAAAUCCCCGGGCUCAACCCGGGCAUGGCUUCCGAAACUGCACGGCUUGAGGCAUCUUGUGGGUGACUGGAACUCUUGGUGGAGCGGUGACAUGCGUAGAUAUCAAGAGGAACGCCGGUGGUGAAGACGGGUCACUGGAGAUGUCCUGACGCUGAGACGCGAAAGCUAGGGGAGCAAACGGGAUUAGAUACCCCGGUAGUCCUAGCCGUAAACGAUGGGCACUAAGUAGAGGGGUUUU